rnacentral:misc_RNA from 1 species
UCUCUCAACCAAUAGAGUUUUCUAUUGGCUUGGAUCUGGGUGUUGCGAGCGAUCGCUCACCUUAAAGGAGUUAGCAUAUAGCAUGUCGUUUGGCGUAAUAAGUUUCGCUUAGUAAUUCGACACGGCUUUGCUUCUAAUCGUCUUUUGACUUUUUUGA